UCCCAUGUGGCUCAGUUGGUAGAGCAUGGCACUUGCAACUCCAGGGUUGUGGAUUGGAUUCCCACAGGGGAA
rnacentral:tRNA from 1 species